UAGGAACACACCAGGAUGAGCAGUAUGGU
rnacentral:piRNA from 1 species